rnacentral:rRNA from 1 species
AGAGUUUGAUCAUGGCUCAGAACGAACGCUGGCGGCAUGCCUAACACAUGCAAGUCGAACGCCUGCAGCAAUGCAGGAGUGGCAGACGGGUGAGUAACACGUGGGAAUCUACCCAGUAGCUCGGAAUAACCGCGGGAAACUGCGGCUAAUACCGGAUAAGCCCCGAGGGGGAAAGGAGCAAUCCACCAUUGGAGGAGCCCGCGUCUGAUUAGCUAGUUGGUGAGGUAAUGGCUCACCAAGGCGAUGAUCAGUAGCUGGUUUGAGAGAACGACCAGCCACACUGGGACUGAGACACGGCCCAGACUCCUACGGGAGGCAGCAGUGGGGAAUAUUGGACAAUGGGGGAAACCCUGAUCCAGCAAUGCCGCGUGGGUGAUGAAGGCCUUCGGGUUGUAAAGCCCUUUUGGCGGGGACGAUGAUGACGGUACCCGCCGAAUAAGCCCCGGCUAAUUUCGUGCCAGCAGCCGCGGUA